UGAGACCAAAUGUUGUUUAAUUACAAAAUUUGUAUCACGUGAACUUAUACAUAUAGGGACCAAGAAUGUGAUGAGCCAUAUGCAAUCUCUUGCAUAAAAUUCAAAAAUGUGAUUUACACAAAUUAAAGUAUGAUAUCAAAAAUACAUGUAACAUCAAGUUUAUCUUGAGGGCUUACAUUCAUAGAUACACAAAUGGAAUGUUCUAGAGAGAUCUAAGCCCACCAUGGGUCCUCUCCAGUUCUAAAAUCAGUCUCCACCCAUGGAACAAAAAUAACCUUCCCAUCAUCAAGGUCUGCAUGAGCCAAAGCCAAAGACUGCACAACAACAAAAAAUUACAAAUCAUAUCACAACAAAAUUCCCCCCCCAAAAAAAAAUUGAAAAAUCCCAAAUUUGAGACGAGCUCGGGGAGAGUCUUGUGUUCGACUGUCUCACUGUGAGUCGGGUCAAGAAAACGGAUCAAAACCCAUUCUUCAGUGUGGUAUUUGUAAUUAUAAAUACCAUCAAGAUUACAAAUGCGCCAUUGGAAUUUGGUUUGGGUUUUGGAUCUGGAUCUUGACCAAUCUCAUUGAGACGGUCUCCUAUUUUCGUAUCAUAUUUGUGUGAGACUGUCUCACCAUGAGUCGGGUCAAGAAAACGGAUCAAAACCCAUUCUUCAAUGUCGUAUUUGUAAUUGUAAUUACCAUCAAGAUUACAAAUACGCCAUUGGAAUUUGGUCCGGAUUUGGAUCUUGACCAAAUCUCACGUUGAGACGGUCUUCUAUUUUCGUAUCAUAACUAAACAAGAGUCAUCGUGGGCAUUCGUUCAAGCACAAGAACAAGAUAUAACGAAAUGUAACACGAAAAUAUAACGAAAAACGUCGUUGCAACUUACCAAGGGAGCAGGUCCCCUCACAACUUUUCCUUGGUUGUUGUAUUGCGAUCCGUGGCACGGGCACAUGAACUUGUUCUCAGCUUUGUUCCACGGCACGACGCAGCCAAGGUGGGUGCAGACGGCAUUGAUACCAUACGUCGCGAGUGUUCUGUCGUUCUCCACAACAAGGUAGGUGGGAUCACCCUGAAACAGAGUCAUCAAAGAAUCAAACACCAGAUGCUUCACUGGCAUAGCUAUCUUUCUAGCAUCCGAUGAACAAAUGGUUUUUACCUUCAAUCCCUGUGUGAGGGUCCGGUCACCGGGCCCGUGUGUUUUGAGCCAUUCGACUGCAACGACGUCGUUUCCCAACGCAUCCUUGGCGGGAGUGCCGCCUCCAUCCCCUCCGGAGCUGUUCUCAGUCACCAGAUCACACACGGAGUCAUGAUGCACGUAAAAGUAAUGUACAAACUGAUAUGAUAGAAUUUCAUCAACAUUGGCUGGUUGCAGAUUAGGAUAUCGAGCCCUAUGAAUAUUAAACACGAAGCCCUCAAGAAGCAGAACCGCUCAAGACAUAGAGAAUCGUCAAUCUAUAGGAUUUUUGAGCAAAUUGUUAUGCAAAAGCCCCUGUCAUCAAACCCAAUCAUAAGAAAAUUGCCUUCUAAAAAUCUCGAAAUUUAAAAAAUACAAUUCCUAUGAAGAUUUUUUUUUCUGCAUCCACCCCUGCUCAGUAGUGCCCUUGUACACCCAUCACAAUGAUCUCACAAAUCUAACGUAAUCCAAAUACUUUGAAGAAGCUUAUAAGCUCGUUAGGAGGCUUAUUCUACCAAAUACUUUGAAGAAGCUUAUAAGCUGCACCUUAUAAAUUACUCCCUCUGUCCAUCGAAAGUAUGGCACUUUUGAUGGGCACAAGUUUUAAGAAAAUUAGUGGUGAUUUUUAUGUAGUUGAGAAAGGGUCCCACCAAAAUUUGAAGUGAGUGGUUGAAAGUGGUGGAAUCAUGUCUUAAAAUGGAAAGUGUCAUACUUUUCGUGGACACCAAAAAUGGCAAAAGUGUCAUACUUUUUGUGGACGGAUGAAGUAUUUUAAAGAGCUUAUAAGCUCAGCCAAACACUCUCACAAUCAUACGAUAGAACGAUUAGUCACCUCACCGGACUUUUAGGCGAAAUCUUUUUUUCCAUCUCACCCAAUAAAACAGUUAACAUUGUUCCACUCCCAUUUAAGAAUCCGACGAGAUGACUCGUCGUUCCUUCACUUAACGGUUUAUGGCGCCAUAUUUUUGAAAGUUGAGGGUUUUUUAACGGAAAACGAAAACUCGAGACAUUUUCUCGAAAACGCUAAAAGUUAAACGACAAAAAACAUGAUUAACAUGUAAAAACAUGAUCUAUUUUCCCAGUGAUUACUCAAAUGCCUCAAUCAGAGUUGAUCAAACAAUCAACUCCACACAAUCAAUUCAAUUCAAUUCAACAAAAAUCUACCAAAACUAGAGAGAGAGAGAGAGGAAACUGACCCAGGCGGAACAAAGAAGUAAGUGUAAGGCAACAACAUCCCGACGGAGGGAAGAGAAAUGGCGCCAAGCAGCAGCAGAUUCAUGAGCUCCCUCUUCCCCAUGUCAGGCACCCGAUCGGCCGGCACGCUCGUCGCCAUACACCUGACCUUCAUCCCCUUUCCCUUCCCGAGCUUCGCCACCGCCACGUUCGCGCAUCGGUUCAUCCCAUUCUUCCCGGAGCACAGCUGAUCGAUCACAAUUUUUU
rnacentral:lncRNA from 1 species